CCUACGGGUGGCAGCAGUGAGGAAUAUUGGUCAAUGGGCGAAAGCCUGAACCAGCCAAGUCGCGUGAAGGAUGACGGCUCUAUGGUUUGUAAACUUCUUUUAUAUGGGAAUAAAGUGAGGAACAUGUUCCUUUUUGUCUGUACCAUAUGAAUAAGCAUCGGCUAACUCCGUGCCAGCAGCCGCGGUAAUACGGAGGAUGCGAGCGUUAUCCGGGUUUAUUGGGUUUAAAGGGUGCGUAGGUGGUUAAUUAAGUCAGCGGUGAAAGUUUGGGGCUCAAACAUAAAAUUGCCGUGGAAACUGGUUGACUUGAGUACAUAUGAGGUAGGCGGAAUGAGUGGAGUAGCGGUGAAAUGCAUAGAUAUAACGCAGAACUCCGAUAGCGAAGGCAGCUUACUAAACUACAACUGACACUGAAGCACGAAAGCGUGGGGAGCAAACAGGAUUAGAUACCCGAGUAGUC
rnacentral:rRNA from 1 species